GAUAGCCAGGUUUAAUUUUUUUUUAAAAUAAAAAACAAAAUAAAAGUUGAAUCCUCCAAAUCAAGCUGAAUUUGAGUAGUGUUGCCCUAUUAAUCGGACUUCUGCUAGAUAUCACUCAAUUGUCCAUUGGUUUGGUGGGGAUAGCAGAAGAUUCAUUUGCAGGUGAGAACGAAAUCUUUUUGUUUGGCAUUUGAAAUUAGGUGGUCAAUAAAUAGUCAACUAUUAACUUAUCUCGAGAAAGUUGUGUCCAAUGAGUGCACUUUAUUUCGUAUGAGGUUCCCUCUCCCUCUUUUACCCUUUAACUUUAGCUCUGAUCAUCAUUAUACCUGUCUCCACUAGUAGUACUACUAUAGUAGCAAAUAUAAAUCCACCAUCCCAUAUGAUAGAGUUCCCAGCCAGGACCCUUCUUCCCCACAGCACUGUCCGCAGAAAUUUAAAAAAAAAAAAAAAAAAACACUCUGAUAAGAGAGAGCAACGCAGAGUUACUGGACGCAUGGCUUCUUGAAUUCCACAUCAAGAAACUUUUUACUAAGUUCUUCCAUUCUUUAGAAGAAAGGAAGAAAAUGCACCAAAUGUGGUCACAACGGUGUUCUUGAUCCCCAUUUUGGUGUGGGUGGCAUUUGCUUUUCAUUCUUCAAUCGAAUUCCCAAGAACAACAGAGCAAGUGAAGAAUGAAGGUUUUCAUUUUUAAGCUUCUGGUUUUGCAUUAUUUUCUGAUAUGUACUUCGAUUAGUAGCAUGCAUGAAAUGGAAUAAAUGCACAAGGAAAAACAGAUAAAAGUAAAGCAUAUGCACACCAAAGCCAAAACACAUUUUCAUUUCAAUCACAUAAAGUUCUAUUACAUUAGAAAUCAGAAAAGAGGGAAAACUUAUUCUAUACCCUAUGCACACCUGAAAGCAACAAAAAGGAAUCCAAUCAGCUGGUUAAUUCUCCUUUUUUUCUUUAAACUUCUUUUUUUUUUUUUUUCUUUUUCUUCUGCUUCUUCAAUUAUAUAUUGGCGAGUUGCCGAUGUAUAAUUACACUCUGACUACGUACUUAUAUAGGCUCUGUACAGAUGAUGAAUCAAAAGGCCAAAAACUGGAUCGGAAGGUCGAACACCCCGAAACCAAAUAAAGAAACAAACAAAAGAAUGACACACACAUUAACAAGCACACUGAUUUUAAAUGUGAGUAUUAGGAUUGUACUCUUCUAGUAGGGAAAAGAAAAAUGGACUCAGAACACUUUGUUAGAUGUGUCCGAGAUGUCUAGAAUGCACCCUUUGCAUUCUAGACAAGGGUAUUUUGGAAUGCAGAUCUACUACACCUCUUAAUAAAACUUCGGGCAAUGAUGGCUGCAAUCCUAGGAAACUAAUCUUAAAUAAGAGAAGGAAAAAAGAAAAACUCCCUUGACAUUAAAGAUGAGGUAUAAGGGAUAGAGCACUUUCUGUAUGUGAGAUGGUUCAGAGAGGUUUAGUUAUAGACUUUGAAGGAGGGCUCUUCUGCAAGGUGGUGGUUGAGAAGGAUUAAUGCUUUGAUUGGGACAAGGAGAUUCCACUCCAAGUGUUUUUAAUAGGAAGUUCCUUUCCUGAAAAGAAUAGGCCCAAAACAAGAGAAAAAAGAAAAAGAGAGGUUAGUCUAGCAUCAAAAAUUAAUAAAUACUUCAGUUCAUGUUCAUAUAUGUAUGUGCACAUAACAUGCUAACAUUAACUGUAUUAGUGGCAAUUUAUGAAAACAGACAGAAUUGGGGUUGGAACAUGAUCUUCAUACUAAAUUGGAGCAGUUCUACAACAACGAAAAUUGAGAGACAGCACAUUGGUUUUAAUAAUCUAAAUUGUCAAUGAAUCUAUAGUUGCUAGCAUUAGAAACAAAUAAAGUACCACACUUGAUUUCACUUAACCAUCCUACAAGGUCUGCGUCAAGCUAGACGGGCUAUUCCAGUGAAUCAUUGCUUAUGUACUAACUAUGAUACAUGAGAACUAAUUCUUGAAGGUGUUUGGGAAGUUGUAAGUGGAAAUUAAAUAAUUGGGCCUAAGGAAAAUAAAAGUGAAUAUAAUAUAAGAUCCACAAGGUUCUCUGCUUCUUUUUCCCCUUGGUUUUGGUAGCAUAUGACCACUUCGGUUUUUGGUAAAUUAUUGCAAGCUUGCAGGGGAUGACAGAAGUAGACAUUCAACAUAAAUGCACUUGCAACUUCUUAGACUUUGACUUCAGGUUUGAACUUAGGUGACUCCAGUGGAAUUGAUCCUUGUACAAGUCUUGUUGGUUAGUAAUCUUUAACCUUAAGUAAGUACUAAGAAUGAUUCAGUAUGCUCAUGCGCACAUGCGGCAAGCUAAAUGACCGUCUGGAUGGAGUGAAUGCACUCUACCUGAUGGUUAGCAUGCUCAUGCUCAUGCACAUGCGCGCAUGAGCAAGCUGUAAACCAUCCUAUCUAGAGUUCAUUCUAACCUGAAUUAAAUUCUUUUGCAGACCAAAAUGGUUGUAAAAGCAGGCAGCCACUGCUGGUAAAUGUUAAUUUCAUCUACAAAAGCCCACUAACCAAACCACCAGCCAACAGAACAGCCUAAUGGGAUUGAGUACAGCUAAUUUUUGAAGUCCAUGAUGAUGGUUUGAUUAUCAAUGGAAGAAGUCCAUCUUAUAUAUAUUAAUAAAUAACACACAGCUAUUUCCUUGUUCAUAACCCCCAGGCCCAUUAUCUAUGUCACCUAGUAAUACAGCAUCAAACCUAGAUAUCUGAUAAUCCUGUCCUUCACAUUGUCAGUCGCUUAUUAGUGCAUAAAUGUUUAAUAAGCCAAGUAUCCAUUGUUGCUGCUAUUACUGCAUUCACUAAUUUCUAAGUAAUGAAGUUGGCUUGACUAUUUGCACUAAAAGUCCAUCUUAUCGAUUAAUGGAUCGCAGAUACAUGGUUGUAUUUGUUUGGAAGGAAUUAUAUUUGGACUUUAUGUAGUUUAAAUACCUAACGUGUCUAACAAUAAUAUUGGCUAAAACCCUCUGUUUGGGAGAGGGAAGAAUAUUGAGGGAAAGGGAAAAUGGGAGGAAGAAGGGAUGUGAGAACUACAGGACAAGGAACAAAUUUGUCUGUCCCAUGCCCUAAUUUCAUCGUACUGUCCUUCCUCCCAUUUUCCCCUUCCCCAAAAAAACUCUCUUUUCUUCUUUCCUCAUUUUCCUUAUCACCUGUAUUGCCAUUAUCUACACCACUUGCUAACGCAGCAAAUUUAGAAGUUUGAUAGCAUAGUUGGUUCACGUUCUCAAACGCUUCCUAGUGAGUCAAUUACUAAGAAAAUACAGGGCUGAUAAUAAGACGAAUAUUCACUUCCUCUUUCUGUUAUUACUAACAGUCAGCACCCAGAUAAGAGCAAGUUGAAGUGCUAUGACUUCUUGCUGCUGAUGUGCUGUUUUCAGCAAGUUCAUUGCUACUAGUAAUUCUAAUGCUCCAACUGGCAAGUCCAGAAAUCCCACCAGUACAAUUAUGGACUUGACUAGUACUACCACUGAUGGUAAUAAGGUGAAGUUCAUAAGCCUGUAAAUGAACUAUAAUGCGUUAGCUGGCAGAACCAAUAAGUUGUGUUAACUUACACUUUCUGAAAAUUUUGGGCUGGGAAUCCCUGCUGCUAAGGAUCUGAAAAUUGGUGUAACUUGAAGAGGAGAACUGAAUUCUGAGCUUGAUGAUGCUGAAACAACUACGUCAUUGUUUGUUUGCUCAUCAAAAGAUGGAAAUAUCUCUCCUGCAAUAAGUUCAGAUUCAUCAAUUACUAUAAUUCUAUGGAUUUAGCAUCUAGAUAAUGUUAAAAAACUGUAUAUGUUGGGCCAUUAUCUGAUAGUAAAGAUUUAUUACCUUGAGAUAUGCUUGCGCAGGGAAUAAUUUCUUUCUCACACUCAUCCACAUCAUUUUGCUCUUCAGCAUUAACUGACUGUAAUUCAUUUCCAAUAUCCUUAUGCACUUCACCAAUCUCAGCCUGAGCUUGUUCUGUUUUAUCAGGGGCUGUAUAAGGCAUUAGAGUUGACCCCGUACUGUAGUCAGAGCUGGCUGGAGAAUCCUCAUAUAGAUCAGGUUGCCUACAAUGUUUCAACAAAAAAUUAGACACUUUGUUUUUGCUUAAACCGAAAUAUUAAACUAGCCAGCUUUUAUUACCUCCAAGAUGGUCGACUUCCAUCAUAACUACUCCUUAAAUCCUCUAUCAAGUCCUUGAAGUCUUCAAGUUGAAAAUCAAUGUCAGAUAUUCUAUAUCCGAGGAUAUCAUUUUCUUUACUCCGGUUCAGGAAAUCCUGAAGCACCUGAAAGUCAGAUUUAUAGAAAGAUAUGAGGGGCAGCUAAAUCACACAUUCAUCAUAUCUAUUCCACUUGAAAGAAGGCUUUUAUUUUUUUUGUAUGUGAGGAGCAACGUGAUCAAUAUAGCAUUUAUAUGCUUGCGUAUUGACUUGACUGACAAGCAGACAAAACUAAUUUAGAAUGUCAACUCGAAUACCCUGGUGUACCAUGAAUGACACUAUGCACCCCAUAAUCCCUGAAGUCCUCACUCCUCUCCCUCCCUUCCAUGCCAAUGUUCCCCAAGGGAAGACAUCUAUCUUUGCUACUGAAUAUGCUAGUGAAAGACCAUUUUCGCUUCCCAGACAAGUGUAUUAUUUUAGCUUACCUUCCAAGCAUUUUCCAGACUCUGAUCUGUAUUCUCUGUAUUAACUUUCAAAGCGAGUGAGCUGAGAAGCUCAGCUUGUUGCAUCAGAGCAGUUAUCUUUGGAUCAUCCUUUCUGAGAAAUGUCGCUUCAAUUUUACUGUUUUCAGCUGCUAAACAAACAGCAAGGUUAUUGUUAAGUUUCAAAAAGAACAAUCAAACCAGAUGUCAAUUCAGAAAAACAUAUAUUUUGUUUGGUAAUUUACCAUCAAUCAAGACCUCCUUGGCAUUGACGGCAGUAUGCUGAGCAGCAACAUUAACAUUGUGGAAAUUUUGAGCCAACACUGCAAAUGGAGGCCUAGACUGCUGAUUUCCACCUUGCAGGUGUGAUCUGUUUGCCAACUUGUAGUGUUCUGUACGAUCAAUGAUAUGGGACCGCCUGAAAAAUAAGGAAAUGAGUUCCGGUGUGCGAGUCCUCUUGCAAAUGACUAUUGUAUAAACACAUCUAAGUUGUAAACCUGAUGUACCUUGUCUUCUUAGCAGGUGGAGCCUUUUCUGGUGAUCCAUCUGCACUGUACCCAUUCUGGAAUAGGAUUCUUUUGUUAUUUGAGUUGACAUAUGUACUUUUAUUCUCUUUA